GUGCCAGCCGCCGCGGUAAAACGUAGGACGCAAGCGUUAUCCGGAGUUACUGGGCGUAAAGCGCGGGCAGGCGGCCCGUUCAGUCUGAGGUGAAAGCGCCCGGCUCAACCGGGCGAGGCCCUUGGAAACUGGCGGGCUGGAGGGCAGUAGAGGCAGGCGGAAUUCCGGGUGGAGUGGUGAAAUGCGUAGAGAUCCGGAGGAACACCAGAGGCGAAGGCGGCCUGCUGGGCUGCACCUGACGCUGAGCCGCGAAAGCCAGGGGAGCGAACGGGAUUAGAUACCCCUGUAGUCC
rnacentral:rRNA from 1 species